AGGGCAUAGUUUAACGGUAGAACAGAGGUCUCAAAACCUCCGAUGUGGGUUCGAUUCCUACUGCCCUGCCA
rnacentral:tRNA from 1 species